AAGGAGAGUGAAAUAGAACCUGAAACCGUGUGCUUACAAGUAGUCAGAGCCCGUUAAUGGGUGAUGGCGUGCCUUUUGUAGAAUGAACCGGCGAGUUACGAUUUGAUGCAAGGUUAAGCAGUAAAUGUGGAGCCGUAGCGAAAGCGAGUCUGAAUAGGGCGUUUAGUAUUUGGUCGUAGACCCGAAACCAGGUGAUCUACCCUUGGUCAGGUUGAAGUUCAGGUAACACUGAAUGGAGGACCGAACCGACUUACGUUGAAAAGUGAGCGGAUGAACUGAGGGUAGCGGAGAAAUUCCAAUCGAACCUGGAGAUAGCUGGUUCUCUCCGAAAUAGCUUUAGGGCUAGCCUCAAGUGAUGAUUAUUGGAGGUAGAGCACUGUUUGGACGAGGGGCCCCUCUCGGGUUACCGAAUUCAGACAAACUCCGAAUGCCAAUUAAUUUAACUUGGGAGUCAGAACAUGGGUGAUAAGGUCCGUGUUCGAAAGGGAAACAGCCCAGACCACCAGCUAAGGUCCCAAAAUAUAUGUUAAGUGGAAAAGGAUGUGGCGUUGCCCAGACAACUAGGAUGUUGGCUUAGAAGCAGCCAUCAUUUAAAGAGUGCGUAAUAGCUCACUAGUCGAGUGACACUGCGCCGAAAAUGUACCGGGGCUAAACAUAUUACCGAAGCUGUGGAUUGUCCUUUGGACAAUGGUAGGAGAGCGUUCUAAGGGCGUUGAAGCAUGAUCGUAAGGACAUGUGGAGCGCUUAGAAGUGAGAAUGCCGGUGUGAGUAGCGAAAGACGGGUGAGAAUCCCGUCCACCGAUUGACUAAGGUUUCCAGAGGAAGGCUCGUCCGCUCUGGGUUAGUCGGGUCCUAAGCUGAGGCCGACAGGCGUAGGCGAUGGAUAACAGGUUGAUAUUCCUGUACCACCUAUAAUCGUUUUAAUCGAUGGGGGGACGCAGUAGGAUAGGCGAAGCGUGCG
rnacentral:rRNA from 1 species